CAACUGGAGACAGGUAAAUAGGAAGUCGCUGGACGCCGACGCAUCCGUCGUCGUCUAACUUGUCGAAUAACGCCUUCGUUUCCAGUAAACGAGUUUAUAUUGAACACACUAUGUCAGCGGCAUACUUUAAAAAUAACGAGCUGGCGUACAAUAAAGUUGUUCAUUAGGAAGGAAGAGGGACACAAUGUCGAAAGGAAAGCUGAAGAAAAAGGGCGACACUUCCAGCAAAAUAUCUGAGGAGCAGACCGAACUAGUUUCUGCAGCGUUAACUUCCUCAGAGAGCUGGGAGGAUGUGUGGCACGAGUGGAGUGACGCAGACGUCUUCAGGGAGAAAUGGGACUCGAGCAAACCACCCGAAGAUCCAAAGGCUAUGACAGACACUUCCAGUUUGUACUUUGAAGAUCCUGAGGGAAAAAUAAGUCUUCCCCCAUCACUGAUAGUGUGCUACUGGAGGCGACCUGCAGACUUUUUGAUCAACCUGGUGCCCACUGUUGUUGAGAAUAUGGUCAGCUUCGACCUCGUAACCCCCAACCAUCAUCUGCUUUGCAGCGAGCUAAUGAGGUGGAUUAUCAGCGAGAUACACAUUAUUUGGAAAGUCUGUAACCUUCCUGGAGUUACGGAUCAAACUGGCUGGAAGCCGUGGGAACACAUCUACUCGCUUUGCAAACCGGGAAAAGGUCACGUGCCGCACUACAACAGCUUUGGAAAAUACCUGAUUCGACUGUUCUGGAUGGGCUGCUGGAGGAAGAUAACGGUGGAUGAUUUAAUGCCAUUUGAUAAAGACAACAAGCUGUUGCUCCCGGCUUCCAGCUGUCAAUCAGAGCUCUGGCCUAUGCUGUUGGCCAAGGCUCUCAUUAAAGUUAUCAACACACGGCCUCACCACGAAGAUGCCAACAGAAAUAAAAUGUUGCAGCUUUCCAAGGAGAUGGGAGAGUUCACUUUCAUCCACCACCUCACUGGCUGGAUCCCAGAAGUCACUUCAAUUAGCUUCCCCUGUCGGAGAAUAACAUGGGAUUUCCUACGAAGCACCAUCCCUGAAUUUUUUCACCAGCCUGAGAAAGUGGUGCGAAAAAAGUUGAAUGUCUCUAGGUGGAGGCGUGCCUCUUUCAGUGACCACAGGAGCAAUCGAUCGGAACCAAGUAAAGUUCACCCCAAGAUGGUUGUGUGUGCCAGCUUCUAUCCUAAUCAGCUUCACAACGAACCCUUUGUGUACACAAACAUGGCAGACUCGUCAGAGGCUCUACGUCGCUACACCCUCUGUUUGCAUCACAGUCACAUCGUCCUUGUGACCAGAACCCGGGUCUGCUCUUUGGAGCCACCGCCUCUGCCUCCACCUUUACCGCGCUGGAAACUCUUUCGCCAAAAAAAGAAGAUUGUGAUCAGCGAUGAGCCACGAACGAUUCCUGAGUCCAAACCAGAGGAGUUCAUCGCAGUUGCCAGCCCUUUUAUUGACCCUAAUGUCAAGAGCAGCUCUGGACCCGUCUCAGAGCAAGUGGACAGGUGGAGCACUCCGAGAAAGCUGUCCCAUAAACCCCCUUUGGACUCCAUCGCUGAGCAAAUGGAUACUGAAUGCAGCGAGGAGCUCGAUCAAAUUGCAACUGAACCCUCUGAUACGUGUGAUAACGCUGCUGACGACACAGAGGUUGCUGCAGAGGACAAGAAGAAGGACGAGGAAGUCAACCCUACUGUUCCAGAUGUGCCCAAAAGUGCUACAAAGCAACAUACAAUUGUGGAACCAAUCAAGCCGUUACUACCAGAGACUUGGGUGGAACUAGAAGACUUUCCUAAAUGUUUCUGUCGCCUGCUGGUGUUCCAUAACCCGGAAACUUACCCACACCACGCCCAUAAGUCUCUUCUGAAGGGUUCAUGUGCAAGAGGCACUUACUACCUGUAUGUGGACAGCUUGAAACCUUCUCAGAUCCUCAUCAGUUUUUCUGCCCUGCUUCACUGGGGAGAAAAAGAAAACGUCUCAGGCAGUGAAGUCCCACCAGCUCGAUGCCCGGGACUCCUGCAAGCUGCCCCGUACCACUGGAAGAGCCGUCAGUGUCAGCCGCCUAUAGUUACCAUCGAAACCAACUCCUCCCAAGCCUCUCUGCUUCGCUUACCCCUGGGACGCCAUGUUUUGUCCUUCCACAUAAACGCAGAGCUGGGAUACCAUGUUCACCUGUGGAGCAAAACGCUUUUCUUCUUCGGGGAUGAGGAUAGCAUCAUGUCACACUGUACCAAGGAGAGUCUUCGUUUCACAGAGAAGGCAACAGCUAUCAUGCGGGGCCUGUCUAAACUGGUAGCCGUGUUUAAUGACAGGCACGGCAAGAAACCUCUAAUAAGAAAGAACUUCGAGAAAAUGUACUGUCCUGCAGAUAAGACCCCAAUAGAAAAAUGGCACAUCCACAAGGCGUUCAGCUUGGCCCUCUACGUCAUGCUGUGUGAUGCCCUGGACAGGAGAAUGACCCCACUGGAGCGCUUUGCCGUAAUGGCCCUUACUGCUGACCCGUCACUCCUUGCUAGGGCACCCAAAGCACACUCUCCUUCAUUGCAUCUAGACUCAAAGCCACCAGAAAAUUGGAACAGCAGUCAGCCAACAGCUGAGGAGGUCGAGGCAGCGACCGUUCUGCAGGCUGCGUUCAGGAGUCGCUUGGUGCGACGGGUCCUUAGAUCCUCCAAAUCCGUCGGAAAAGACAACAUCCAGAUAGCUGCAGUCCUUUCAGACAUGUGGUCAAAGGUCGGAAGUGACGCUGACAAACACGCCACUUCCUUGCUACGGAACAUGUUUGAAUUUUCUGAUAAAUACACCAAAUUCUCCUCCUGUCAGCUAGAUGAAUGGACCAAAAUAGUUUUUGCCGAUUACUCCGUCGUCAUCCCAGAAAAAGCCAACUCCUGGCUUUUGCUCUUUAGAGAGGUGUUCUUUUUUACUAAGGAGACCCUGCUGUUACCAAAGGUCUACUGCCCGGUUCGCUAUUGUCGGCUGCACAUCAUAAAUAACGACACGGGAGAAGAGCUGACCAAGCUCAUCACAAGAGUCCAGCCCCAUCUUUAUCAACCCAAUAUGAAUGGUUACACCUUUGUUGCAGAGGUGAUGACCCUUGAAUUGCCCCCUGCUGGCGCUAAAUGGACAAUGCGGUUGACGGGUACAAGGGAGCCUCUCCCAAAAUUGUCCCAGCCGACGACACUCAGCACAUUUUCCGAGCAGGAAUUUCAGGAUUAUUACAUUCCUAACAACAGGAAUAUUAUAUGUAGCUAUGCUGUGAAGGUGACUACACCGGUCGCCGCAACUCUUCACUUUCAGACAUCCUCUCCAUCUGUGAUGAUACGACUGUUCAUUAUGGACCACGAGAGUGAAAUGGCCAGCGCCACUGGGCAAGGCGUCGCCGUGAUUCCCGUGUUCAACUUCCUGCCCAGCAAAGAAGAGGAGCCAAUAGCUCCCAGUUGCGCAGUAGAGGAGGAGAACCAGAACAUAUCCCCUACUCCCGAGAACGAAAUCAAUGUGUUAGACGGUAGCCAGCAGGAAGAGGAGGGCAGUACAUCAGGGAAAUCAGACUUUGCAGCUGACCACUCACCGCCGCCCACUUGGUUGCCGGAGCAUAAGUAUUUGGUGAGGGCAGAGGUGCUCCGUCAGAGCUGGGAUUUGGAUGAGUCUCAGUUGGCUUUUGCCCAUCUGCUCAGUUACAGAGAAACACAAGUUUUCUUCCCGGAGGAAGUGAUAGAAUCGACCUCUGACAUGUCGAGCAAUGAAGAGCAGUGCCCAGAUCCACCCAAAGCCAACCGGAAAGUCGAAGAAGAGAAGACAAACGGCAGCUGCUCAUCCGAAGACACGAGCCUUGACCUGACGAAGGCCAACUUCAUGCUGCGUGUGGCUGUUGACAAGAGCCAAGCAGAGAGCAUUGAGGUGAAGAAGGACACCGAGCGAAUAGAGCAGAUCAAAGCUAUUAAAAGAGCCUGGGAAGCGGCGGAACCUGGCCGUGCUGCCAAGGCAUGGAAAUUACGCCUCAAUUGGCUCAGUCAAUUUCUGCCCCCAACUUCAGAUGAUGUUCCUGUUGAAGAACCCCCACCCAUUGAGUCUGAUGAAGCUUGCAGUCCUGUUCCUGACAACACUCCUAGUAUAUCAAUCGAACAACUGCGAAGCAUAGUUGUUCCUCCCAUUGACUGCACUCCCUACAUUAGAAGGAAACAGGAUGUUCCAACAAUGGUCGAUCAAGAGAUAGAGGAGAUUCAGCGGAGGGAGCGCUUAGAGAAGAUCCAAGCCUACCAGCUGGAGCGGGAUCAGCUGGUGGAGGAGCGCUUACAAAAAGCCACUGCUAGGAAGGAACGGAUGAAAGGCCUGCUGAAGCAGUACGACAGCCAGCAGGCGGCCAUGGUGCAAGAGCAACAGAGAUUCCAGGACAUUCGAAUGCAGCACAAUCAGAAAUCCACUGACGGUCGCAAAUUCUCGAAUAACCGUUUGAAAAAAAAACAAGAUGAUAAACACAUGGAUGAUGCCUAAUAGGCUGAGAAAAAAAAAACACCUUGUAAAUAGCCCCAUGAUGAAUGCCAUUAUGUAUAUUUAUGACGUUAGUGAACAUAGAUAAUACAUAACAUGGAAAAGAAGGCAGGAAGAUAGAAUCUGUCCAAUAAUGUGUGAUGCAUAUUGUAAUUUCCUACAUUUAUUAUCUCUCUCUGUGUAUAACUCCGCCUCCACUAGAAGAUCACAUAAAUACAGUGCAAUUUCAAAUAAUUGUUCUUGUUGUUGAUGUUGCCUUUUUCUAUGCAAACCCAUUUGCUUUUUUGAAGGUCACGGUAUUGACCGAACAACCCAAAAGCGUGCUGGGUACAUCCAGCCUCCCACCAGCUGAUUUGAUGUCAUAGUUGCAGUAAAAGAGCACUUUUAGCACAAGUCCAAAUAGCUGAUUAAUAACAGUUUAUUCAUUGUUAUAAUCCAACACAUGAGCCUCGGCUUGUUAACCGUGGAAAUAAAGUCUGUCUGCUCAUCUCCUGUAGAGUGGGAAGCUACUGUAUAUUGGCAAUGAGUGAGAUGAUGACGCCAUCUAGUGGUUGUGUAUGUGAGUAAACUGUCACUGUAAUACUGUUCUGUGCUGCAUUCGAGGUGAACAAUCAUAGAUUGUCCCAUUGCUUGCAUCUCUAGGAGGAGGCAUGAAACAUUCUCACUCUUUGGCUUGUAGUGUAGUACAAUCCCCGCCAUGUGCAAGCUAGGACCAUGCUGUGGCCAGGGAUGCGUUCUAGUCAAAGAUGACCAUAAGCGCUGGGAGAAGGAGAAGCGAUCGAGGGAGGAAGGAGUUGGAGUGUCCGCAGCAGAUGCAGCAGUGCCAGACGAGCGAGAACGACUGAGAGGAACCGAUCACAGCGACGAAGACGCGGCAGACUGAAGUUGAGAGAGGAGCGAGCAGGAAGGAGGAGCUGUUGAAAAGCGAUCCGAUUGAAAGAAAAAGCUUAUUGAAAAAUAAACAAGAGUCAAACCUG